rnacentral:lncRNA from 1 species
AUUCCUGCAGCCUGAGCUGGGCCAGCUGCUGUUCCACGGGACAGGCAGUCUAAUCAGACAGCCCUACCUACUACUCCACUACACCACUACAGUCCAGUCCCCUGCGGGAGAGAGGCAGUGGGGCCCAGGGAUCUUUCAGCAUUUGCUAUGUGGCAGCUGUUACUUUGUUUUCUUCUCUUGGCUUGAAAGGCUGGGAACUCAGAGCCAACGGAACAGCAACAACAACAAUACCGAGUUUCCACAGAGUCCCUGUGGACCCAGCACCUGGCCAGUGCUCAAGAGCGCCCUAGCACCAAUGGUUUCAUCACCCUUUAAAAGAAGUUCUGGACGGUCCUUUCAUUUGCAGAUACCAUCUAAAACUGUGGAUUUCUCAUGGAAAGUCUCAGCGAUGACUUUCGUCCCUUGAUCCACUUGAAGUCCUGUCUCUGAGGGGCACAGAAGCCAACCAGUGACGGCAGAGAGGAGUGGCAGGAACCAGGAGGUUGACUGGGGAAGGGGUGCUGAGGAGGAUGGGGGUGGGGGUGGGGCAGGGAGAUAGGAAUGUUCUGUGUUGUGAGAGAGGUAUGGGUUACAGAGGCAAAAACAGUGGCCAAGAUAUGUGUCAAUCAUAACUCAGUCCCAGUUAAACACCCAGUUUAAAGAGCUGCUCGAUGCUUCCGUUUGCCUACCUGUAAGGUGGAAACGGCAGCACCAUACUCUCUAAGGCAGUGCUGGGCGAUUGAACGAUGAGGCCGUGCAUGCUCCCUGAGGCUGUGCUAUGCAGCUAACCGUUGUGGGUGGUGGCUGUUAUCCUUACAAUUUCUAUGCAAAAGGCAGUCUUCACUGUCUAAGCCCUUGUUCCUCCCGCCUUGAUUUUUCGGGGUAUCUCCUCCCUGCCAUAGUGUAAUUCCACCUGCCUCCAAAUCUGUAUCUCUUCUUCCAUUGCAAAGUAGCAUGACCCAGCCUCAAGUCUGUCUCUCUCUGUAAUGGCUUUGACCCCAACUACCCAAAUUCCCCAAAUACUCUUCUAAGAGGGACCACAGUCUUCGCUGAGCUGGCCCUAAGACUUCCUUCCACUCAGUCUCACUGAUGUUAAUAUGGCUAUUAUUAUUAUUAUUAUCAUCAUUAUCACCAUCUAAAAAUAAAUCCUGUACUUGUUGCCACA